rnacentral:rRNA from 1 species
UACGGAGGGUGCAAGCGUUAUCCGGAUUCACUGGGUUUAAAGGGUGCGUAGGCGGGCUGGUAAGUCAGUGGUGAAAUCUCCAGGCUUAACUUGGAAACUGCCAUUGAUACUAUCAGUCUUGAAUACCGUGGAGGUCAGCGGAAUAUGUCAUGUAGCGGUGAAAUGCUUAGAUAUGACAUAGAACACCAAUUGCGAAGGCAGCUGGCUAGACUAAAAUUGACACUGAUGCACGAAAGCGUGGGGAUCAAACAGG